rnacentral:tRNA from 1 species
UAGCUCAGCUGGGAGAGCGCCUGCCUUGCACGCAGGAGGUCAGCGGUUCGAUCCCGC